AAAAAGGCUUUUCUUAAAGCCAUUAUCCUGACCUGUUUCACAGCCU
rfam:Phalacrocorax carbo contig118256, whole genome shotgun sequence.